rfam:TPA: Bos taurus chromosome 10, whole genome shotgun sequence.
UCCCUGGUGGCUCAGAUGGUAAAGAAUCUGCCUGCAAAGCAGGAGACCUGGAUUCGAUUCCUGGUUUGGGAA